GACGAACGCUGGCGGCGUGCUUAACACAUGCAAGUCGAACGGAAAGGCCCUGCUUUUGUGGGGUGCUCGAGUGGCGAACGGGUGAGUAACACGUGAGUAACCUGCCCUUGACUUUGGGAUAACUUCAGGAAACUGGGGCUAAUACCGGAUAGGAGCUCCUGCUGCAUGGCGGGGGUUGGAAAGUUUCGGCGGUUGGGGAUGGACUCGCGGCUUAUCAGCUUGUUGGUGGGGUAGUGGCUUACCAAGGCUUUGACGGGUAGCCGGCCUGAGAGGGUGACCGGCCACAUUGGGACUGAGAUACGGCCCAGACUCCUACGGGAGGCAGCAGUGGGGAAUAUUGCACAAUGGGCGGAAGCCUGAUGCAGCAACGCCGCGUGCGGGAUGACGGCCUUCGGGUGGUAAACCGCUUUCGCCUGUGACGAAGCGUGAGUGACGGUAAUGGGUAAAGAAGCACCGGCUAACUACGU
rnacentral:rRNA from 1 species